UUUAAGAGAUAGCAGCCAAGGGAGCAGCACCUCUUUGGAUAGAGAUUGUGCUCCUGUUGAGCUAUCACUGGUCAUUGGAAGAGAAACUCAUGCCUGCUGAGUUUAAGCAUUUGAAGUUCCCAGAAAAAAAAAUGGCUCUACCUUCAUCUAUUACUCUUACAGCCUUUGUGGUCCAUUGUUUUUCUCUGUUUCCAAGUUUACUUCAUAUAGAGCAAUAAAAGCACCAUAACCCUCAACCCACCUUGUUCUAGUUGGCAAGCAGAUGGCUACGCAAACAAAUUCACAUCUUAUCAAGCACACAAAGGAUUAACACACCCAUGUUUUUACUGCGUGGCUCUCCUUUGAGCUAGAAGGAUUGUUCUAAAGGCAGCAACUGCAAAUGCUUGUUUCCAAGCGUAGGGUAUAUGCUUCAUCAUUUACUAUCAGAACAGUGGCUCCACUGAAAUGCUGGUUAGGUGUCACAGUAUAAAAUUCCUGUACCUUCGGAAGCACAAAAACAGAAGGAAGUGACAACGUGUCAUUGCUAAGAGCAGCUGGAAAUGUACACUGGGAAGGCCCCUGACAUUAGAUACUAAGUUUUGCAAUUGUUAAUCGUGUCUUUAGACACCAUAAUUCUUCGCUUUUAUUUCUCAAAAACAUUUUCUACCCUCAAAAAUCAGUCAGGUGAGAAGGUGGGACUCUUGGUCUGCUUGUGAACUGCUAAUAGGGCCUGAAACAGCAGUGCAUGUACCAGGGCAGCCAGCAGACUCUCUUGAAACGCGUUUCAAUUUCUCAACACCAUCAUCACUGGUCAUGCCAUAUCACCAACAAGACUGUUACUCCAGCAGUUUUCUUGGAGGUUUCCACAAGUGCCUGAAGUUCACCGAGUCUCAGGCACCUCAGGGAUUACUUCAGGGCCAACUUGCCAUCAUCUGCCUUAAGGAGAGCAAGAGAAAUAAAUGCCACAGAUGAGGUACCCCUGCCUUCAGCAGGUGGAUGGCUCAGCACAGUCAGGGUACAAGAGGAGCUGCAGCCAGGACCAGAGCCUCAGCAAGGAAAGCCAGGACUGCACCAGCAGAGGUAAGACAGAUGAACCAGCACUGAGAAUUGAGCUGGAGGAGUUGCAGCUGUGAUUACAGGAGGGAUAAGGACAAGACCAGAGGAUACAACUCUGACAUCUUUGAUCCAUUUGUUUACAUCUGUACCCUCGAUACACAGCACAGCUGACUUAGUUUAACUGCGUACUUCCACACAACUUACAAGCUUGCCUUGAAAUUCGAAUCUGGGCCUUGCUACAACUUCCAGCUAUGUUCAUUCAUUAUCUGCUGGCAAAGAGCUGCAGAUUAAGUUCUGCCUCCUUCGUAUCACUUACGUGCGCAGUGGAUACUUUGCUGGCAGUUUUACCAGUUGGGAGUUAAAAAUAAAGCAGAUACAUUUGAUCAGCUUCAGCGCAAGGUAUGAAGGCUCUGAACGCCGCUUCGAAGAAUCAUUCAGCUAGCUACAGUGACUGCUUCGUUCUCCAACUCAUCAGUCAGUAUGAUGGUUUUUUUCUCCUAUAAUUCUUUAUUUCCAAGGCAUCCUUGAGAGAGCUGUAAAGUUCUAUGGUUCCCUCCUGUAAGCAUCAUUCCUGCUGUAAGUAAACACUAAGACAAU
ensembl:lncRNA